AACGAACGCUGGCGGCAUGCCUAACACAUGCAAGUCGAACGAAACCUCCGGGCCUUGUGGCGCACGGCUGCGUAACGCGUGGGAACCUGCCCUUAGGUUCGGAAUAACUCCCCGAAAGGGGUGCUAAUACCACAUAAUGUCUUCGGACCAAAGAUGUAUCGCCUUUGGAUGGGCCCGCGUUGGAUUCGCUGGUUGGUAGGGUAAAAGCCUACCAAGGCGACGAUGCAUAGCUGGUCUGAGAGGAUGAUAAACGACACUAGGGAUAAGACACGGACGAGACUCGUACGCAAGGGGGGAGAGUAGAAUAUUGGACGAUGGACGAAGGCGUGAUACAGCCAUGCCGGGUAAGUGAUGAAGGCCGUAGGGUAGUAAAGCUCUUUUACCCGGGAUGAUAAUGACGGUACCGGGUGAAUAAGCACCGGCUAACUACGUG
rnacentral:rRNA from 1 species